AUCACUUGCUGGUGAAGUGUCUACGGCUCUGUGUUUUUGAAGAGAACAUGCAACUCUCUCUAACGUUUUUCAGUUGUGAUUUCAACUUUGCAUCCCAUAAUAAACUAGGUUAAAGAAUCACAAACCAAAGAUUGUCACCAUCACUAGUUAAUCUGGAUAAUGAUUGUAAAAUGAACUAUUUUGACAACUCGACGAUUCUGAUAACUGCAGUCAGCCCAGGUGUCGUGUGUCUGUGCGUCAUUCUCUAACUCUAAUUUCCCGGAUCUGGCUCCUGCCCCUUGGCACACUUGUUGGCUGCACCUGUCUGCAGUGCCAGGCUAGAAGAGGAGUCCACGGAAGGAAAGUCUGAUGAAAAUGACUGGGCAAUUUUUAGGAUGAGAUAGAAGGAGAAAGAUAAGACCUGGAGUUGAGGCUGUCGACUGACUCCCACAGACGUCCUGUCUUAGAGGAAGUGCCAUGCCUCACAACUCACUCUAUGUGAAAUGAAUGAAAGGCCGCCGCGGUGGCCAAGCUUCAAGAUGGUUUCAUUUCCUUCAUUCUCUUAUGCCCUCCUUAAAGCAUUCCACGUUUCAAAGUUGGCGUUUUGGGAGAGAAACUGGCUUUGGCUCUUCCACCUCAGCAAUGCUGCACAUCUGCUAGGGUUACGAUAAACCUAGAAACGUUGGGCUUCUGCCAUCUCUUCAAGUGGGGAGAUGGGGCAGCGUGUGGGAAUGUGAUUGGCAAGGUUUUGUAUUUAGGGGGCGGAAGGCGUUGGCCUCACAGUGCAAGGAUAAUACGAAUAAAAGGAUGUGGGAUACAGGGCCCCUCAGGGCUGCAGCAGAAGUGCUGAGGCUGCUCUUUGGAAGUGCGGUUGGUGUGUGAUAAGCAUGCUUUGUAUGACAGACAUUUUUGCUAUGCAAAUUAAAGUGUAGGAGAUGUUCCUUUGUAGUAUGUGUGUGAGGUUCAGCAGUAACUCUGGAAUUUCUGUUUCCCAUGAAAAUGGGAACUGAAAUUGUUUCUGGUCAUUCCCGGACAGGAGUGAGGCAGUUUACACAAGAAAUGGUUCACAGGGUAAGUAUCAAUCCUUGAAAAACUUGUUCUUUUCAUUCAUAUCACCAGAAAGACACUGAACAGCAAUUUUCUGUCUUCAAACCAAUUCCUAGUACAUGCUGGAAAGCACCUGAAUGUUGGACACUGUGUCAAAAAAGGUGGUGAACCCUCCUCUGAGGUUGAGAUGGGAGCAGGGGUAAGCGUGCAUUCUCCAGAAAAGACGCCAGGGACCAUCUGGAAGGAGAGAAGUUGUGGAUCAUGCUUUGCCACCUUAAGGUCAUGGACAUUUCUCAUACUUAUGUGAUAAAGUCUUUAUAUCUAAAUUGG